UAUAUAUAUAUUGCCCUAUACCGUUGGUAUUUAUAUGAGAAUUCACACUUUUAGGUGCUAUGAUACAACACAUAGUGUUUUCACUUUUAAGACACAUAUUUAUUUACUAGAUAGAUAAAUAAAGGUCCCUCCCAAGUGUCUAAAUAUUAAUCAGCUAUCAGAUAUUUAUUAAUUGAGAUGUACAUAAUUCGUAUUAAAUUUCUUAAUUUUAUUUACUUGCCUGGGCCCAUUUGAAGCUAACCCUCCCCUCCUUCCUUCAAUACAAGUUUUUCCAAAUGUCAUAAUAUUAAACCGAAACCGCUGUAGAUAUACAUUGAAUAUUCUGUAAAAAAGUUUUAAAUCACAUACGAACAAAUAUCGACACUCAUAACAAGAUUUUUACUAAUACGUAACAAAGAUUAUGCAAUCGCUGAAAACGUGAUUCAUGAUAUUUUUAGAUGAUAAUCAAUACAUAUUUACAAUUCAUAAGUAAAAAGGGUGUGUGGAAGGUUGAAGGGGGAGUCGGAAAGCGUGAUACAUGAACCAUCAUGCCUCAAUUAAAACUACCUCUAUUGUGACCUCACCAUGUGCGACUUCUAGUGGAAUAUCGAGUCCAAAACGUACGGUUAAAACUAAGUGAUAAAUUCUCUUCCGAAAAAUUGUGACACAAGGGCACGCCGAAUACAACGUGCCUUAUCACUGGCACUUAACUACUGGAUCGAUAUUUUAGGUUGAAGACAUCGCAUACGUUUUUUGCACACUGUUUUUGACUACCGAUUGCUCCGUUUAUCUUAUCAAGAUAUCCGGCUAAAUGUGGGUGUGAUCGGUCGACAAGGGAUGUUUAUUCUUUCUCGUCAACUGAUCCCACCUCUUGUAUAUCAUGGUGUUUUUCUUUUACCGAUUAUUAAUUUUGUAUAUCUCAGAAUGGUAAUGCAAUGUUUAUUAUCAUUUUUGUAUUUAAGCAAUGCCUUAAACAUUUUUUAGUAAAGUGUUCGUCUAGGGGUACAGCGUUCGCCCCGCAUGUGUAAGGCCGGGGUUCGAUUCUCUGCCGUGAUAGACCUAAGUCGUUAAAACAGGUAGUGACAGUUCAAUCGCCAAACGCUCAGCAGCAGGUGUAAAUGUCACGGGUCAUCGGUGAUGACCUUAAAACGGACGUCCCGUGUCACAGUAGGUGUGGUACGCUAAAGAAUCCUCAUUGCCCAAUGGCCGAUAGCGCCGAGCAUAGGAUAUUGUAGUUGAAACAUGUAUAACACGCAUCCUUCCAACAAUAGGGGGUACCUUUAGAGAAUUUAUGGCAAACUUCCAUGAGAACCGAGUGAAGGGAGUAGCAAGAGCAGAUCAUACACAGGGUACCCGACCUGCACCAGCUCCAGGGCCCUCUACGACAACAUUGGUGGACGCUUCAUCUGGGACAUCCCCUUCACCACCACCCAUCUUGUUGGAGGAAAUCACCUCAGGUUUGUCUUCACCUGUCUGCUCCCCCCACCCAUUUCAGUGUCCCUAACACGAGGGGUUGAUGAUAGGACUAGGGCAAAGAUUCACUCAGGUGAAUUUGUUAAAUUCCCUUUCCUUCUCCUGGCUAAAAACACCACUGAAAUUGAUAACUAUUGCUCAAACGAGAAGAAUGGCCAAUUACUCUUCCUGAAAACGAAUGAGAAGAACUCCAUCCGUACGGUAUCCAAAUGGAUGGAAGCCUUCCAUAUAGUUGUUGCCAUUUACACAGAGAAACAUCCCAAGGAAAUUGACAACUUGAUGGCGUUUGCCCAUACAAUCCAAAACAUAUCUGAGGCUUGUGGAUAUAGUGCAGCACUGUCUUAUGAUGAGAAGUUCAGGCGUUGGCGACAAUGACAGCCCGAAUCAUUAUCCCUGGCAGCGGAAACAUGUAGAACUGCACCAAGAGGCUGUGUUCGCGGGCCUUGAAGUUAAAUUUUAAGUUAAAAAGCAGCCCUUUUGUUCUCUCAACCAUUUGUCAGCAUUCAUCGCACACUGUUUCUUAAAGAAUAUGACAACUUCAUCGAUUCGAACACUUGUAUCCUCCUUAAGCUUUACUUUUCAACUUGGAGGUUACCCAGACAUUACAUUAUUAGGAAAAUGUUAUUAGAUUUCCAAACGUGUAAGCCUUCGUCGGAGGCCAGACUUCCAAUAGCGCCGCAUAUUCUAAUUCAACUUGUGAAAGCCCUAAUCACACCACCUCAUCAACUUUCGUUAUACACCUUUUAAGAGCCAUGUUCAUAUUAGCAUUCUGUGCUUUCUUACGGAUUGGGUAAAUCACCAAGACACCCGGCCUAACCUAGCAUUUCCUGUUGCUUGAAAAUAUUUCAUUCCAAAAUGGACCCAACCAGCAACAAGUUAUUAACAUCAAUAUCCCACAUUUCAAACACUCAAAGACAAAUAUGCCUACGCUUAGGUUACACCAAAAUGCUAAAAAUCCUAUCAUUUGUCCCUGUGCUACAUUUAAUCAGUAUUUACAACUACGGAAACAUUCGUCUUAGUCUGAAACACUUUUCUCUUCCAUGGAUGGCUGUCUGGUUUCAAAACAAUUCUUUACACAGCAUCUUCGUUCCGCUAUGGCUUUUUGUAAUCUGAACUUGCAGCGUUAACAAUCUCAUAGCUUUAGAAUGGGUGCAGCAACUACUGCUGCAGCAUCUGGGUUCUCUGAAUUUCGGAUAUAAACCAUGGGUAGAUGAGAUUCAACUGCGUUCAAAAAGUACAUCCGUACCCCUACUUUUAACGUGUAACAUUCGCUAUUUGGUCAUUACGUCAUACAGACAGGGCUUUAUGUCAUGAUUAUCUCAUAUAGGAGCUCUAGGCCAGGUCAUCAAUUAACAAUUUCGUUAUGGGAUGUGCAGACAGGGGCUGCACAUCCUGGAAUGUGAACCACUCAGUCAGGGGCUGGGGGUUCCUUAGUGCACAUGUCAACUAACUUAAACAGUCAGCGGCUGCGACCGCUAUACAGAUUUUUAACUUUUCUUUUGAACUACUCUGUUUAUAUCUUUUUGUUUUCUUGUCUUAAGUUGCCUAUGUUUUUUAUGGGGUGUUUACAAGGUGGCCCGAUUUUUAUGUUAAGCAGUGACAUAACAAAUCUGCCUACCUUGUUAAUGUGAGGAGGUAACACCCAAUAACAGAGGUUUUUAUUGAAUGAUCUCAUUUUUCUAGUCAUAUGUACUAGUACCAUUAUUUUUGGUAAAAUAUCAAUGAUGAACUUUUGUAUAUAUGUUAAACCCCAGUGUCUGUAAACCACAGUCACUAGGAUCCCUUUCUCCGUCCCUUCGAGUUGCAACCCACGGUAAACUGUUUGCCCCUAUUUUGUCGCCCUUUACGGCAGGCAAAAAGGGUGCCGGGGAUUUAUUCUUUUCGAGAAGAAAGAAGUUUUAUAUGAAAAUUAUAGAAAAUCACGAUAUUGUUUUGGAAUCAUUUGAAAAGCAUUCAAAUUUAUAAAGAUCUAAGCCUAAUUUUCCUUCUUUUAUUAACAAAUACCCCAUUUUAAUCCUCGCCUAGAGUGCCAGGGGCCCCUGGAUGGGACACAUCUAUACCACAGUAAAUACAAAACCAUAUAGAUGUGUAAAUUGUUACAUGUAUCAAAACUAAUUGAUGAUAAUGAAUUGUUUAUGUGGUUGCUUUGUGUUGGGGCUAAUUUUAGCCUUCCCGUACAUGUCAUGACUGUGCAUGCUCAUUUUAUUCUUUGUUUGUGUACACUGUUUACAUGUGAUAACGCCUUUUAUAUCAUUGCUUUUUAAUGUUUUAUUUAUUUUCUAUGUAUUAUGUGUAUAACAUUCUGUUGUAAGGUAUAUAUGCAUUGUCAAAUACCUUUGCGCGUACAUAGUGUAUGAAAAGAGUGCUAUAUAAUUAAGGUAUUAUCAUUAUUAUUAUUAUUAUUAUUAUUGUAUUUCAAGUCAGUAAGCAACCACCCACCCCUCCUCAUGCGCUGAUUUUUUUAUUUCCAUACCAGGAGUUUUAUAAGAAUGCUUUUAAUUUCCUAGUCAUGUAUUUUUUGGUAGGCGAGGUAACACCCCAUAACAAUUUUUUUUAUUGAAUUAUCUCAUUUUUCUAGUCAUAUGUACUAGUACCAGUAUAUUUGGUAAAAUACCAAUGAUGAGCUUUUGUAUAUGUGCUAACAAUUUAGUGCAUAAUGUAGCAUUAGUCAACUCCUUUUUAUUAUUUGGAGUGUUUGCCUGGUUAGAUGUUUUAUUCAUUGCAUAUUGUAUCUUUUUUAUAUACCAGGCAGCUGUUUUUUAUUCCGAUUGAUUUGUUGUCAUUUAUACUUAAUAAAUGACCUAUUUUAUCUUUUAAACGGGGUUGGUUUGAUUUGUGGGUAGCAGACUAACAUAAAGAAAAUAAUGUUAUAUAGUACAUGAUUGUGUAGAAAUAGAAACAGGAAAAGCAUUGGCUGCGAUAAUAUUGUUAAAUUCAAAAAUUUUAUUUCAAUGUUUUAUAUAAUCAAAAAGAAAAAAAGACAUUGCUCAAGGUAUUUUCAUUCUACACAAGAAAAUUAAUCGUUUGCCCUGGGCUACGCUACUAAAGGCAUGCCACCUCAAAGAAUGGGUUUCUAGAUCAUAUAAAAGAGUUAUUGUUAUAUAAUAUAAUAUAACAUAUAUGAAUAUUCAUACUGCACAGUUGAUGCAAAAGGGGCUUAAUCUUCACCUAGGGCACCAUGGAUUGGAUACAUUUGUAUAAUACAAGUUCUAGGCAUAAUUAAGACAUUGUUUGAGAAAAGGAAAUUUACUUUCAAAUGUUUUAAGAAGUGUGAUACUAUCAAAUUAAAAAUUAUAACUAGUUAGAAAAAAUACAAGAUAGAAAAAUAUGAGUGGGAUUAAUUCGAUUUAACAAUUCUUUAGAAUGUGAUAUAUGUAUACUUUUGAGAUUUCAUCAGGCGAAUGAAAAUACCUUCGGAAUCAUUUGAGAACACUGGAAUGCUAUGGGGAAAAAUAUGUGAGAAUUUAUCAAAUGAUUUAGAAUUAUUUUCGAAUUAUUUGAGAACAUUCAUAAAAUUGUCGUGAUAUACAAUUACAUUUGAUCGAGAUGAAAUGAUGAGACAUAUUUCUAACAUUUUAUCAGAGGAAUGAAAAUUAUGUUGGGUUAAUGCUUUUUAAUGUUUCUCUGAGUGGUAUUGUGUGGUAACAUUGUGUCGAUGAAAAACGAAAUACUCUUCUUCUUAGAUGCUAUUUAAUAAAAAGGUGCACUCUUCAGAUAUCAAAACGAGUUUGUAAUUUAUUCCAGCAAAUGUUUUUUUUUUUCUGCAUAUUAUGUAUGUCACUGCAAAAUGCCUUCAUUUUAAUGCAUUUGACAGUCCCGUUACGUUAUAAAUAAUUUUUACAAUAAGGAUCGAACUAAAUCGAAUAACAAUAUGGAUUACUAUAAAACAUUUUCGUUUUUCCACUUCAUGAAGACUAUUUCAUAAGCAAAUCCCCAUCUCAAAUGCUAGUGCAGCAUAUAUUUAUGAUUGUUUAGAAAAGUGUUCCAAACUUCUGAUAUUUUAUUUUUUUCUUUUUCUUGGCAAUUGCAGCAGAUUAUUUAACAUUUUGUUUUGUAAUGUUAUUAGUACUAUCAUAACUUGUAUAUCCGUACAUCAUCAUUAUAAGCCAAGCCUAGCGAUUCUCAGUACUUUCCGUACUUUGAUAUUUAUUCUGAUGUUUUCAGGAUCCAAAAGAUCUCCAUAAUGGUGCAAAAUAAUUAUAUGAAUAACCGAUAAUAAGCUCCGUGUAUUAGUCUUAUGAGUUAUGAGAUUGAUCACUGUUCGUUAUAUUCACCGUUUGCAAAUGUUGUUUACUCCAAAGGAGUACCAACUUUGUGCUUGGGUAUGUCUAACAUAGGUGUUUUUAAUAAACAUAAUAUACAGAAUGCAAAAUUCUUUGUCUGCUCCGCCAUGCUUGUUAUCGCGAGAUCUCGUAGGUGGAUCUACUGGAAAACCUAAAUAUUGACAAUCUGUGCGAAAAUGUGUUACUCGAGCCACUCCGACAAAGAACGGAAAUUCAUAUGGUUAUAUAAUUUACACUCUGCUGUUCGUUUUUUAACUUGACAUAUUAAAUCUAAACCUUUUUUUAUUACCGACGAAAUAGCUUUCUCCUUCGUACUUGUCCAUUGAUGUAAAUACUACCUUAUAUGGCAUAUGCAAAUAACUUGACAAUCGGACAUUGAAACUUCAGUACUUCAAAAAUGGGGCACAAAAAUGAAUCGAGAAAUUGAAUAUAUCGAAAUUUUUGAAAACGGUAGAAUAGAGCCUCACAAAUCGUAAGCUGCAGGUUGAAAAUUAAUAUAUUUACUAAGAAACAUAGAAUAUAUACACUCUUUUAUUUGUCUGUAAAUAUGUUUUAUACAGGACCACAAUGUAAACUAGUCAUUUGUACUAAUUGUGCUAUCCUGUCUAAAUAAAAGAAUUUAUUAUUAUAGAGAAAAGAAUUUAUUAUUAUUAUUAUUAUAUAAUUUCAUUUACGUAAAGUCGGCAAAAUUAUGUCUAGAAUUAUCGAAAUUGUUGUGGGAGUGAAUCACUCCCGCAUUUGCACCUUUACGGAGAUCCUAAGGAGUUGUACCCCCCCCCCCCCUCCAGCAAACAAAAUCGGAGAGGGCUACAUUAUUGCAGCUAGCCAGAAUUCUGCUUGAUUCAGUAUUAAUUCUUCGUGACAGAAAUAAAAAUAAUUAAUCAUUAAUGAUUGUUUUACUUUAUUAUAGUUCUCAAAAGAACUGUAUUAUGUGAGAAAUAAAUAUAAUAUCAAUUGUAUGUAGUAUAGUUCCUGUUUUUUAUGCUCAAAUUAAGGUUGAUCGAUCCUCAUGUGAUGUCAUAAGUUUUUGCAAAACCUUUAUUUAAUACAUUUUGCGCAUGUUAGAAUUAUAUCUUUUAGAGGAAUUUUAUUCACUGGAUAGAAUAAAAAAUCUGGUAAACUAGUGAAACUAAAAACGUUUUUACUUUCCAUAGAUAAUCGAUGAUUUAUAAUUUAAAAAAUGUAGUUAAGGGCAAUAACUCCUAUGAUGGAAUUUUUUCUUCUGCGUGUCUAUUAUACAAUGUUUUCCCUAAUAUCUACAAUUGAUUUUUGUACAUGUAUGAAGUAGCAGUUUUUUUUUUAAACUAUUGACAUUUGAAAUUUGGCAUUUCAACAAGUUCUUAUCAAUUUUUAUUAUUCUCUUUAACGAAAAUAUGCGAUUUUUUAAUGGCGAUAUAUACUUUUGCUUUUGUAUAUCUGACAUCUCUACAAAAAUGGCAACAUAAACAUUAUCUUUGGUUAUCAAUUUUAACUAUAUUGAAUGGAAAUUAAUACAGUUUUUCCACUUUCAACCAUUAAUAUUGAUAAGUCACAUGAGGAUCGAUCAACCUUAAGGCAGAUUUUAACAUUAUUGUUGAUCCACAUUGUGAUACUACACAGUAAAUUAUAUGACCUCGAACGGCGUAUUCGGCGUGUCUGCGCGUCAGUCAAUGUUGUUAAUGUUUUCCAGUAUAAUUUGGUGUGGAAAAAACACUCAAAUGUCUUUACUUUUUAGCUGUAUCGCUUGUUUUUCUACGGAAAUAGCUUACGCUAAUAUCGAGCUUAAUCAAAGCUUUUUUCAAAGACAACAAACUAAUGAUACUUAGUGUCUUAUAGCUAUUGAUAUAUAUUUACUAUAAACUGUUUAUAGUCACGUGAUAAUUCACAAGUUUAGGUACUACGAUACAACACACAAUAGUUUCCAUUUUAUGACUAAUGACAAAUAAUUAUAUAUUAAAUAAAUAAAUUAGAGUCUCAAUCCAGUGUCUAAAUAUGAAUAAGCCGUCAUACUUUCAUGAAUUGUUAUAUAUAAUAAUUUUCAAUAUAUUUACACCUCGACUGGCCCAAUUUUAAACCGAAACCGCGCAUAUAAGACCCUAAUUGGUACUUGUUAUAUUCGCAAGGGAGUGAUAAAACAAUUUACCAAUCAGAAACCACCUUCAACUGAAUAUCCGAUGACAACCGAAUUGCCGAUAACGCGUUUACCAGUGUGAUUAAGAAUAUACUUUGAAUCCCCCCCCCCCUUCUUUUAGUGAUUAGCACCUAAGCCGUGAUGUUAUCGAAUACCUCUCGUCUGGCACCGAGCUCCGAUUAGGGAAAGUCUUCGAUGUAACACCCUCUUUUGUUCAAUAUACCGUAACAAGUAGUUGUGUAUUCAAAGAUACGUAAUAAAAUCCGACAAAAAUGCAUGUAAAAUUUGAAAUUUGAUGACGCUUUAUUAAAGCCGUACGGAGCUCCGGCGCUUUUCAUAUUAAAGAAAUUUGAUUGCGAUUCCGCACAUCUACGAUCUCAUCUCAGCUCUACAAUUGCUUAAAAAUUCAAGUUGAUACCUUCAAUGGUUUUCGAAACCAAUCGCUGACAAACUGACUCUCUAAAUAUGAAAAUAAAAGUAUCUAAGGUAACGCGUGAUGUAAUUAAAAUCGGGAAAAUGUAUCUUGAGUUCGUGUGAACAUCUAUCAUGAUAUCAUCCCUUGAAAUUUCACGACAAUCGAUAUACGCAUAUCUGGGAGAUCGCUGUCAUAAAACUUGCAAGAAAAAAAUGUUUCGAGGUGUUCGUCUUUCCCGGGUAUUCCCAUCUCUCGAAUUUGUAUUCUCUAUAAGAUUAAUGAAUUUGACCACUGUUCGCAAUCUUCACUUUUCCAUACAUCUUUCUUCAGUUUCCUACCAAUGAAUGUCAACAUGUAAUCUUCAAAUGUCGAUUGAGAUGAACUAUUGCUUGAACGGAAAAAGAAUAAUAAUCGUGUGAUCGAUGUUAAACGACAGAGGCUUACUAAGAUUAAACCCCCGCCCCCAUUCCUCUACUCUUCAUUACGUGUAUGAAUUUAGAUCAUUAUGCGACAUGUACAUGUUAAUGUCGUGUGUGAGAGGUUUAGAAUAACUUACAGUUCACAAGUGUCCGUGGGGAUGUUGGUCGGUACUCCUCUCAGUCCUUUUCUACGACAAUUUACAUAAGUCCCAUCACAGUUAUAUGACUUACGACAGCUACACCCGUCAGGACAGGCGUCCGUCCCCUGGCUGUAAAGCACAGAGAGCACGACAGACAACAAAACCACCAGCUGCAUCGUUAUUAUCUGAAGGAAA